UAAAUAGACAAAGAAAAUUCUCUCAUGUCUAAGAAGUCAGCAGAUAAUUAGGCUUUGAUGGGGACAUUCUGAGGCAGUUUCUACUUAUUUUGUGAGGCUGAUUUAAUGCAGGGGCUGUCUCAGUUGUCCCUGCAGUCAAGCUCUGCUGAUCUCUCCUGGCCAGAGCUCUGAAGGAUGCUCAUGCUGGCUGAUGCCUCCUUACCCAGCAGGUGCUGAUUCCCUGGGAGAGCUUUCUUUAACAGGAAAAAGCUUUCUGCCCCUUUCACUUUCCAUUUCCCAUGUUCAUCCUAUUUUAAACUCCAUAGAGCUCACUUCACCCAGAGCAAUAGUAGCAGAAAGCUGUACAAGGAAUUUGGAAUUCAGAUUUGUCUUCUCUCCUUGUGAGGGUAAAAGCAGCAGCAGUGUGAGGAGCAGUCCUUCAGCAACUUUAAACCCAAAUUCAUUCUUUCUGUACUUAUUCACAGAUGGAAGUCCUUCACUUCAAGUCCAAAAAUUUUAAAAUCCAGAAAAUAAUCAGCUCAAAGUUUCAGGCCCAAAUCUACCAGCUCUGAGAGACUGAGGAUCUGAAUAAGAAAACCACUGUACAUCAGGAAAAUGCUGGUUUGUUAUGGCAACACUUCAAGCCAAAAUCACAAAUACAAGCUGUCUCCAAAGUAGGAGCUAUGAAAUCCGAGGUGACCAGGGCUGCCAGCAAAGUGAGGCUCAUCAGGCAAAUGCCAGGAACAUCUCUCAAACCUUGAGGGAGAAGACCAGCAAACUUGACAGUGCCCACAAGGAAUGUCCAGCUGCCAGCAAGCUGUUCACAGCUCUCAGGCUGCUGGAGGAGUGAUGGGAGGCAGAGUUCCACUCCUGGAAUGCUGCUCCCCUGGGUUGGACAGGAGAGACCCCCGGGGAGGCAGCCAGCCCUGUGCAUGGCCUGCAGCUAUGCAGAGACUCAAAGCUCAAACAUCCCUGGAAAGGUGGGAUGGUAGCAGGUCCUAUGUGGAUGUCCCUGAAAUGAGUAAACCUCAGGUAUGGGAAGGUCUGUACCUGGCCUGGAGCUUGGAUCUGUGCUUGCAGGACCUGCAGAAUUCAGGGAGUGGAUUAAACACCAGGAGAACUGAAAGAAAGGAAAAGCAGAACAAGCUUGAUUUUGGACAGCAGCUGAGGUACUCCAAAGGGGACAGGUACCUGUUUCCAUCUCCCAGCUCUGGCACCAGGUGACUCUGAUGGGCACAGGAGUGACUUUGUGAGUAUUGACACCAACCCUGCUGACAGCUCUUCCCAGGACAAGCCCAACUCCCAAACCCUGGAGAGAAGGGCCCUGCAGAUGGGUGUGAGCCAUAGCUGUGGCCAUACCAGGAGCUGGAAGACCCCCAGCAGUCCUCUCUUUCCACACAAGGCCUUUCUCCAGCUGCCUGCGUGUGAGAUCUGGCUGCAGCCCUGCCUGCCCUGCUCACCCCAGCCAUGCCCCCGUGCUCCCAAGGUAUUUUUGUGCUGGAGUUUGCCUGGGGCAGUGCAAUGCCAUGAAUAACUUCCCUGCUAAAAGCAAGAGGGGAUGGAGAAAUGGAAGAGGCAGGUGGGUUUUGGCAAGAGCAGCACAGAGGGAAAGAUAAGGAAUUUGGGUUGAGUCGAGGGUGGGGGAGGGAACAGAAACUGGAUAAAAAACAAGAGGAGGUAAAGGACAUUGGAGGAAAGCCAAAUGAGACCAGGCUGCAGGCAAGGAAAAGGUGGAAUUGAGGCAACACCAGGGCAUGGAUUUGUGUCUCUACAACAGGAUCAGAUCCAUGGCAGGGCCAACAGGUGACUCAGAGUAACUGAUUUAGUGGGCAAGAGCUGAACCCAAGACCUUAUGGAGACAUUUCAGCAGUGUAGGGUUGUCUUGCCCAAUUCUCCAUCCUGCCCAUCCAUGGACUUGUGUCUCCAGACCUACCAGGGUCAGAUGGAGACCAGAAAAACUCUGCAGAGGAAACACCUGGAGCAGCUGGGGGGGAUGUGGGGUGGGGGAGACACAGCAGAGUUUUCCACAGCCAUCUACAAUUUCUCUACAUAAUCACAGGUCUAUCAAGGUGCAAAGCAGUGGAAAUGUGAGAAUCUCAUUCCUCAUCACAUGACACUGCACCUGGUGCUGCAGCAAAUGUCUUCUGACUCAGCACAUGCUGGGCCUGGGAUCCAACAGCCAAAAUCCAUUCCCAGCUGCUUGCAGGGCUGUAGGAAAGCAGUUGGCAGCAGAUGGAGCAAAGGUGACAAAAUCGAAGGGCUGUGUUGUACAUUCAGCUAAAAGCAUCCCUGUAGGUAGAAUAUCUGCAAGAGUUCUGCCAGGGCCAGCAGCUGAACACUUCUAGUGUGCAAUUUGGGACCUUUCCCAUGGAGUCUUGGGAGUUAUUUCUGCAUCCAAAAUGUUUCACCAACAGAUAUUGGCAACAUCAUCAAGAUCUGGUGGAUCUGAGGCAUUAGAUUCUACAGAUCUGAUAUCCACUAACCAAGACAAAAAGGAGAAGAGUCUCCAAAAUCCUCUGGAAAACAUUCUUAACCCUGGGUUUAAAAAGAGCAGAGAAAUGUAAUUUAAGUGGGGAAAUACCUUACUGGGAAAUGAAGAUUGUCAGUAAGUGCAGAAGACUCUGGAUGUGCCUCUAUCCAUGAACAAAAGGUAUACAGAGAUUUCAGCAAUUUAUAUUUUGAUGGGUAGUUUCUGUCUCGUGUGGCUGCCAAGAUGUCUUACCUAUAGCCAUUAAUAUUUCAAAUUGCU